rnacentral:rRNA from 1 species
AGUAAUCGCGGAUCAGCAUGCCGCGGUGAAUACGUUCCCGGGCCUUGUACACACCGCCCGUCACACCACGAGAGUUUGUAACACCCGAAGUCGGUGAGGUAACCUUUUGGAGCCAGCCGCCGAAGGUGGGACAGAUGAUUGGGGUGAAGUCGUAACAAGGUAGCCGUAUCGGAAGGUGCGGCUGGAUCACCUCCUUU